GACGAACCGUGCGAACGUUAUUCGGAAUCACUGGGCUUAAAGCGCGUGUAGGCGGCCCGGCACGUCCGUCGCUGAAAUCCCUCGGCUCAACCGAGGAAUGGCGCCCCAUACUGUAUGGCUUGAGGGAGACAGGGGUAAGCGGAACUGAUGGUGGAGCGGUGAAAUGCGUUGAUAUCAUCAGGAACACCGGUGGCGAAGGCGGCAUCCUGGACCAACACUGACGCUGAGGAGCGAAAGCCAGGGGAGCAAACGGG
rnacentral:rRNA from 1 species